UGUGUAGACGGCACAUUAAGUCAGCUGUUAAAUCUUCCGGCCUAACUGGAAGCUUGCGGUUGAAACUGGUGAGCUAGAGGGUGGAAGAGAGAAGUGGAAUUCUCGGAGUAGCGGUAAAAUGCGUAGAUCUCGAGAGGAACACCGAUGGCGAAGGCAGCUUCUUGGUCCAUUCCUGACGUUGAAACACGAAAGCGUGGGGAGCAAACAGGAUUAGAUACCCUGGUAGUCC
rnacentral:rRNA from 1 species